CAUGGGGUGUCGGGAAAGAUUAUAUCGGUAUGGGAUGGGGUCGCGUCCUAUCAGGUAGUCGGCGGGGUAACGGCCCACCGAGCCUACGACGGGUAGCCGGCCUGAGAGGGCGACCGGCCACAUUGGGACUGAGAUACGGCCCAGACUCCUACGGGAGGCAGCAGUGCGGAAUAUUGCACAAUGGGCGCAAGCCUGAUGCAGCGACGCCGCGUGCGGGAUGACGGCCUUCGGGUUGUAAACCGCUUUUGAUCGGGAGCAAGCCUUCGGGUGAGUGUACCUUUCGAAUAAGCACCGGCUAACUACGUGCCAGCAGCCGCGGUAAUACGUAGGGUGCAAGCGUUAUCCGGAAUUAUUGGGCGUAAAGGGCUCGUAGGCGGUUCGUCGCGUCCGGUGUGAAAGUCCAUCGCUUAACGGUGGAUCUGCGCCGGGUACGGGCGGG
rnacentral:rRNA from 1 species